GGAAUUUUGGACAAUGGGGGCAACCCUGAUCCAGCCAUUCCGCGUGAGUGAAGAAGGCCUUCGGGUUGUAAAGCUCUUUCGCGAGGGAAGAAAACUUAUGAUCGAAUAAAUCAUGAGGUUGACGGUACCUUGAUAAGAAGCACCGGCUAACUACGUGCCAGCAGCCGCGGUAAUACGUAGGGUGCGAGCGUUAAUCGGAAUUACUGGGCGUAAAGCGUGCGCAGGCGGUUUUGUAAGUCGGAUGUGAAAUCCCCGGGCUCAACCUGGGAACUGCGUUCGAAACUGCAAGGCUAGAGUGUGUCAGAGGGGGGUAGAAUUCCACGUGUAGCAGUGAAAUGCGUAGAGAUGUGGAGGAAUACCAAUGGCGAAGGCAGCCCCCUGGGAUAACACUGACGCUCAUGCACGAAAGCGUGGGGAGCAAACAGGAUUAGAUACCCUGGUAGUCCACGCCCUAAACGAUGUCAACUAGUUGUUGGUAGAGUAAAAUCUAUGAGUAACGUAGCUAACGCGUGAAGUUGACCGCCUGGGGAGUACGGUCGCAAGAUUAAAACUCAAAGGAAUUGACGG
rnacentral:rRNA from 1 species